rnacentral:tRNA from 1 species
GAUGGUUUGGCCGAUGGUCUAAGGCGCCUAGAUUUAGGCUCUGGUUCCGAAAGGGCGUGGGUUCAAAUCCCACAGCCGUCA